CCUACGGGUGGCAGCAGUCGAGAAUCAUUCACAAUGGGGGAAACCCUGAUGGUGCGACGCCGCGUGGGGGAAUGAAGGUCUUCGGAUUGUAAACCUCUGUCAUGUGGGAGCAAAUUAAAAAGAUAGUACCACAAGAGGAAGAGACGGCUAACUCUGUGCCAGCAGCCGCGGUAAUACAGAGGUCUCAAGCGUUGUUCGGAAUCACUGGGCGUAAAGCGUGCGUAGGCGGUUUCGUAAGUCGUGUGUGAAAGGUGCGGGCUCAACCCGCGGACGGCACUUGAUACUGCGAGACUAGAGUAAUGGAGGGGUAAGCGGAAUUCUCGGUGUAGCAGUGAAAUGCGUAGAUAUCGAGAGGAACACUCGUGGCGAAGGCGGGUUCCUGGACAGUAACUGACGCUGAGGCACGAAGGCCAGGGGAGCGAAAGGGAUUAGAUACCCUUGUAGUC
rnacentral:rRNA from 1 species